GAAAAGCUUAUGGUUUUUGAAAGGGUCAUCAAAGGAGAAGAUGUCGCUCAGAUUAAUGGCUAUGUCAAGAUAUUUCUUGCGAUAGCACGUGGAUGGACAGUCGGAAGAUGAUAAGGCAGUCGAAUGUGAUGAAUAAGGCCUUGAGAGUUUGUUGGACUGCUCAUCACUACCAUCACAUUUUAUUUCGACAACCGUAAAUGAACAAACGCAAAGUCGUUUUGUUAACUGGAUUUUGACACUUCAACCGGCGUCGUUUAGUUAACCCAACAAAGUUUUCAGCAAGACGGCAACGCUAACACUCUGCUCGCGCUCCUCGCAUAAACGCACCGUUUUAGCCCAACACGCACCAUUUUCCGUUUGUCUACACCGGGUAACACCGAAAAGUACUUUCACGGGAUGCAGAGGUGAAAAUGAAGCCACUGGCUCUGCUUCGUCCUCUCUCCAUCUACUCUUUAUCUCCUUCACGUCCUCACUUGCCACUCAAACCUCUCGUCCAGAACCCUAGCCUUCGAUUCUCAUGUUCCCCUAUUCGAUCAGAGCCGGUUUGUUUCUCCCAGUCUUUUCAAUCGAUUAGUAACUUGAGUUUCGAAGCCUCUUCUUCGACUCAAAUUUUACAUAAUGGUAGAAAAAUUUUGUUCAGGUAAAAGCUGGAGAUAUGGGUCCAAGAUCCGAAUACAGUCCUGGAGUAUUCGAUGACUUGUUCCUUGCUCUGUUUCGAAACAAAAUGGUCAAGGUGAGUAGUACGAUUUAACAAGUAGCUGAGCCAAUUUCUUAUAGGUUUUUACGCGACAAAAGAUGAAAUCUUGUAGUUCUCCAUAUGAUUUAUUAGGAUUGGUUAAAGUUUUUUGUGUGAAAAUCCUUGCUUUCAAGGACGAUUACAGGAGGUUGGAUGGGAUUCUGAGAAGCGUGGAUAUGAUGGAUUAAUAGAAGUAGCAAAUCGGCUCAUGUUGACAGGCAGAACUAAUGCUGAUACAAGGGAUGCAGCAGUAAUGUUUGAUUCUCUAACCUCUUUCUUCUUUGCAAUUACACUUGCAUUGCUUUUAUGCAUUAGACUGCCAUUUUUUUGGCCUAGAGCAGGUUCGAAUAUUAAGGUCGCUGUUUCCUCCGCUUCUGUUAGAUCUAUAUAAAUUGCUUAUCUCUCCUCUAGGAGGAGGAAAAGUGGCUGCCAUGAUGGUUGGUGAGUGAUUCUCGUUUUUAAAUUAGAUGUGUUCUUCUUUUAACCAUGGCAAUUAGUAUAUUGUGCCAAGUUCAAUGAUCUACAGCUAGAGUGACUGCACUCACUUGUAAAUGGCUUAUGGGCAUUUGCACGGUGAACUCUGUAGAUCUUCCUGAUGGAACCUCAUGUGAAAGUGGGGUAAUUAUCCUUCUUCUGAUAUAAUGGAAGAUUGGAAGUAUUGAUAAUUUUCUUCAAGUCCUGAUUAGUCAAACUAAUUUUGGUUGGUUUUAUGGGAAGGUUUUUGUAGAAAGAUGCAAGUAUUUAGAAGAAAGCAAAUGCGUAGGCAUUUGUGUCAAUACAUGUAAGCUUCCAACACAGGUAAGCUAAACUAUCCCUUCAUGUCGCUGAUGAGUUCUUAACCAGUCUCAGUCGCGAAGUUUGCUGCUGCAUUUAAAUAUUUUCUUUUCUUUCUAUUCGUAUAUAUAUACAACACACAACAUUGCAUUUAACAGAUUUCAUGACUUUCUAUAAUUUGAUUUUCUAGACUUUCUUCAAGGAUUACAUGGGAGUUCCCUUACUGAUGGAGCCAAACUUCACGGAUUAUAGUUGUCAGGUAUCUAAUACACCAUUUCCUUUAAAUAUUCAUCCCUUUUUGUUUCUUAACAGGAUAAAGGUCAGUUUAGAUAUGUAGAAAGUGGGGAUGCCCAAAUGACCAUUUAUUUUGUUGUGACCUUAAUGUGGCAGUUUAAAUUUGGGGUUCUUCCUCCACAACCUGAAGAUGAUAGCACGCUCAAGGAGCCUUGCCUUGAAGUUUGUCCGAUCGCAUCUCGAAGAAGGCCAGUUGCCCAAAGCACAGAUGUAGUGCAGUGCCCAAAGGCAUAAUUGGCCAUUGUUAUUUGAUCAGUGACUCAUUAAAUCUCUCUUUUAUACUUGCAUACAGAUUACUAGAAAUGCAUCUACAGUGAUAUAAUUUAUCUGUCUUUCCUGUAUCCACAAUCUGUUCAUGGAACAGUCAAAAGUGAU
rnacentral:misc_RNA from 1 species